UACGAACUGUGCGAACGUUAUUCGGAAUCACUGGGCUUACAGGGCGCGUAGGCGGCUUUGCAAGUGACGGGUGAAAGCCCUCGGCUUAACCGAGGAACUGCCUGUCAGACUGUAAGGCUUGAGACCGGGAGAGGUGAGUGGAAUUCCCAGUGUAGCGGUGAAAUGCGUAGAUAUUGGGAGGAACACCAGUGGCGAAGGCGGCUCACUGGACCGGAACUGACGCUGAGGCGCGAAAGCGUGGGGAGCAAACAGG
rnacentral:rRNA from 1 species